CCCUAUGGGGUGCAGCAGGCGGUCGCGUGUGUCAGGUGUGAAAGCCCGAGGCUUAACCUCGGAAUUGCGCCUGAAACUACGUGACUAGAGCAUUGGAGAGGGUAGCGGAAUUCACGGUGUAGCAGUGAAAUGCGUAGAUAUCGUGAGGAACACCAGAGGCGAAGGCGGCUACCUGGACAAUUGCUGACGCUCAGGCACGAAAGCGUGGGGAGCAAAAG
rnacentral:rRNA from 1 species